rnacentral:rRNA from 1 species
UACGUAGGGGGCAAGCGUUGUCCGGAAUCAUUGGGCGUAAAGAGCGCGUAGGCGGCCCUGUAAGUCCGCUGUGAAAGUCAAGGGCUCAACCCUUGGAUGCCGGUGGAUACUGCAGGGCUAGAGUCCGGAAGAGGCGAGUGGAAUUCCUGGUGAGCGGUGAAAUGCGUAGAUAUUGGGAGGAACACCAGUGGCGAAGGCGGCUCACUG